rnacentral:rRNA from 1 species
GAUGAACGCUAGCGGGAGGCUUAAUACAUGCAAGUCGAACGGUAACAGCAGAGUUUACUUUGGCUGACGAGUGGCGCACGGGUGAGUAACGCGUACACAACUUAUCUUCAAGUGGGGAAUAGUCUCGGGAAACUGAGAAUAAUACCGCAUAAAAAUAUUGUACCGCAUGGUACUGAUAUUUAAAGCUCCGGCGCUUGAAGAUAGGUGUGCGUCCUAUUAGGUAGUUGGUGAGGUAACGGCUCACCAAGCCGACGAUAGGUAGGGGGCGUGAGAGCGUGAUCCCCCACACGGGUACUGAGACACGGACCCGACUCCUACGGGAGGCAGCAGUAAGGAAUAUUGGACAAUGGGCGAAAGCCUGAUCCAGCCAUCCCGCGUGCAGGAUGACUGCCCUAUGGGUUGUAAACUGCUUUUGGAAGGGACGAAACGCCUGGAUUUAUCCGGGCCUGACGGUACCUUCAGAAUAAGCACCGGCUAACUCCG